ensembl:lincRNA
GACCCCUUUGCCUAUCCGUCUGCCAGGAGCACCUAAGGGUGGCCGUCCUGAGGGUCACGGUGGACAGCCCGGCCCAGUGCCACCCCCACCAUGAGGACCCAGUGUAUCAGUGCCACACAGGGCCCCUCGGCUACCCAGUGGCCCUGAGAAAGCGGAAAGGGCUCGUCCCUCCUGGACUCACAGAUAUUGCUCUUGGCUCCAGGACAGAAAAGUGAGAGGAAUGACUGGCUCUCCGGAGACAGGAAAACAGCAGACUGUUUAAUGAGGCCAGGAGGGCCUUUUACAGGGGUUGUGCACCCACCCACUGCUCUCCUGUGGCCCAUGGCUGAGGUGCUGGAAGGGCACGCUGGGCCUCGAAGUCAGACCUCAGUCAGGGGCAGCGAGACCACUGCAGAGCCAGCACCCUGGGAGAGUGGGCGGUGAGGGAAGGUGGAAGGGAGGGAGGAUGGCGAUCAGGCUCCUGCUACUCACAGGACCUGGCUGGGCCCAGUCACCUUCUCCUCUGUCUGAACUGGACAGGGCUUGACCAUUGACGGCAAGGGCAGGCUAGGGGGUCCCGGCAGCAUGGCCUGCGUGCAGGACCAGCCUCUUAGGACCUCUGUGGCCCUCACAAAAGCCACAAAACCCACCCUUAAUUACCUUUUGGGGAGCUGCUCCUGUAUAGGAAAACAUGGAUGUAUUUGCUUCAGUAGUUUUUCAACAUAUUGCAUGAUUUAAAUGCCAGGCUCUUGUUCUUUCAGUUUUAGGGCCUUUGCACUGAACUACAGCUACUUGUUUGUUCACUUAUUUUCGAAAGAGGCUCUCACUAAGUUACUAAGUUGCCCGGGCAGGGAUUGAACUUGACCUCCUCAUGCCUCAGCCUCCCAGAGGACCAAGGUCUGCAGAUGUGUGCCACCACACCCAGGGAGUGUGUACCUCUGAAGCGUGGUUUUGUUCCAGUUUGGAGAAGCCUCAAUUCUUGGGUUCGUCACAUUUUCCCAGAGAUGAAAGAGAGGAAGACCAGGGGAGAGAGUCAAAGCCUCUGUCCAAUGGCUGCGUGUGGGCAGGCCGGCAGCCCGCGUGUCAAGGAAGCUGUCUCUAUACUGGACCUGGCGUGGACCUGGGAGCUGGGUCUGAAGGAUUCACAAGGAGCGCUACAAGAGGGGCCUGGUUUCUGUUCUGCAGUAUACCUUCCUCCCUGGAGCCAGGCCUCCCCCAGAAUCUACAACUCGAAGGCUACUUUGGUGACUCAGGGACACGAGAUCUAUAUCUCCAUGCUGCUCUUGGCCUUCUCUUGUGAUCACAAGACAGCUGCUACAGCUCCACGCAUGAAUGAAGGCAAAGCCAGGGAUAUCUGGAAAGCAGAAGCCUUGACUUCUGUUCAUCUCCUCACUCAGGACCGAGUCACAAGGCCACCUUGGUUAUACUGUGUGUAGGAAAAUAAGUGUUUUGUUUCUUGGGUGUGUAGAAUGGAGGCAGCUGGCAGAGGGGUUCUCCAUGUCAGCAGUGCUGGCUGCUUGAGUUCGUUCAAAAUAAUGACCCUCAUGGAGCCGUCAGCCAGAAGACAGAGACUCUCUGGAGACGGGUUACAUUUGUUUGGAAAUAAAAUUUUAAAAACUUGCAACGGGAA